rnacentral:lncRNA from 12 species
CCAUUAUUUAACAUGUCAUAUUAUAUUGUAUUAAGAUGUAAUUUCUUUAAUUUCAAGAGAAUAAUUUAAUGUUUAACAGGACAGGUUCCAGAAUAUUUCAAAUUCUUGUUUUUUUGUUUUUUUGUUUUUUUUUUAUCACAGUCACCUGAGAAUUCAGAGGAGGGUAGUGCUGUUCAUUUCUAGAAGGCGGCUCAAGAUACUAACAAACCAGAUGAAAAAACACUGCAGGAAUCAUCAUUUUAUUUCAGAAUAGCCAGUGGAAAUGAAUUUGACAACCUGGGAAUGGACA